rnacentral:miRNA from 1 species
UGCAUUGCGUGCGACCUCCCUA